rnacentral:misc_RNA from 1 species
AACGCACAUUGCGCCCCUUGGCAUUCCGAGGGGCAUGCCCGUUCGAGCGUCAUUACAACCCUCAAGCCUGGCUUGGCGUUGGGGCCUGCUGUUCCCGGCAGCCCUUAAAAUCAGUGGCGGUGCCCUCUGGCUCUAAGCGUAGUAAUACCCCUCGCUACAGGGUCUGGUGGGUGCUCGCUAUCAACCCCUAAAUUUCUAUGGUUGACCUCGGAUCGGGUAGGGAUACCCGCUGAACUUAA